rnacentral:tRNA from 1 species
GUCGUCGUGGCCGAGUGGUUAAGGCGACAGACUAGAAAUCUGUUGGGCUCUGCCCGCACAGGUUCCGAAUCCUGUCGGCGACG